rnacentral:lncRNA from 1 species
UGCUCAUUGGCCACAUUUGGCUCGCCACGCCCCUCCCGUCCGUGGCCCCGCCCCUCGUGGGCGUGGCCUGUCGUCGCGGCGACGCGGACGUGGGAGGACCCGGAUGUGGCUGGAUCCCAACAUGGCCGCGGCGGCGGCGGCUGACGCUCUUACCGGAGCACCUGGAACGCGGAGCUGAGACAGGACCGUUUUCCCUUCGCGGAAGGAAAACAACCCCUUGGAGCAGCCCCGACCUGUUCCCAGCAGGAUCUGGGCUGGGAUUCCAGAGCUCCAGGGAUCAUCGGGAUCAGCCGUGCGAAUCAGGAAAACGCGCUUUCACCCAUUCCGCCGGAAUUCCGGGAGUUUUCGGGACGCUUUGCUCUGUCCCUCUUGCUGCUUUCCCGAGGAUCCCGAAUUCCCAGCGGGGGGGAGCCCCGGAGGUGGAAAUUUGGAAAUUUUUCAUGGAAGAUGUGGAUUUGGAGGGUUUGGAGUCUCUUCCUGUUCCGGCUGACAUCAGGAAAAUAAUUCCCCAAGAGGAAAAAUCCAGCUCAGGGAUUUUCCAGCAGAGACUUUGGCUCUUCUCUCUUCUUCCCAAAAGGAUCAAACCCAGCAUGAGUUUGGGAUUCAG